CCUACGGGUGGCAGCAGUCGAGAAUCAUUCACAAUGGGGGAAACCCUGAUGGUGCGACGCCGCGUGGGGGAAUGAAGGUCUUCGGAUUGUAAACCCCUGUCAUGUGGGAGCAAAUUAAAAAGAUAGUACCACAAGAGGAAGAGACGGCUAACUCUGUGCCAGCAGCCGCGGUAAUACACAGGUCUCAAGCGUUGUUCGGAAUCACUGGGCGUAAAGCGUGCGUAGGCUGUUUCGUAAGUCGGGUGUGAAAGGCGCGGGCUCAACCCGCGGACGGCAUAUGAUACUGCGAGACUAGAGUAAUGGAGGGGGAACCGGAAUUCUCGGUGUAGCGGUGAAAUGCGUAGAUAUCGAGAGGAACACUCGUGGCGAAGGCGGAUUCCUGGACAUUAACUGACGCUGAGGCACGAAAGCCAGGGGAGCGAAAAGGAUUAGAUACCCGUGUAGUC
rnacentral:rRNA from 1 species